rnacentral:lncRNA from 1 species
AGAGUAGGCAAUUGAGGAAAAAGUAUAAAUAUAUGAUGGUGGCUUGUGUUUGUCCCCAGAGAAUGCAGUCUACAUCAUCUGCAACCAAUCCUGCUGGAGACAGCCCUUUAAAUCCAAGUGGACUGUUUGGAUAGGAAGACUAGGAACUAGUCAAGCUUCACUCUAGAAAAGAUGAUAGAAAUAUAUAAUCAAUCAGAGCAUCUGCUACCAAGAACUUCUAGCCUCUGGGAGCUCAACCUCUGGAGGCUGUGAGUCUUACCUUGGCUCUCCACAUCUCCGUGCUCCCAUUCCUUGGACAGAGCACACUGCAACCCCACCCUUGCCUGUUCUCUGGCUUCAUCGUGGCCCUGACUGAUGGGAAUAACCUGGCCUCCUAAUUGCCUCAGGCCCCUCAUAUCUGCCUCCCAUUGUAUUCCUGGCUGGUGGCGGGGCUGUGCGACUGAGGAGGAGAAAAGAGAGUUUGAAAACCCCCAAAGAGAUGCUCACCUGCUGGGAAGGAGUGAGGAAUAAGAUGAAUCCUAAGAUGAGACUCAAUCAUAGAGGGGCAUGAAUGACAUUCAUACUUGUUCUAGAAGAAAAGCCUCUGAAAUCCUUAAGAAGAGUCAUCAGCUGGGAAUGUGGGCUGGGAACAAGAAUGAGAGUUGAUCUGGCUACCCAGGAGUAUUAGGAGGCUGAGCGAUUGGUGAUCCAGGUGAGGGCUAAGGCUGGCAUGAGAGCAGGGUAACAGUGCAUAUACUACAAAGGAGAAUCUUGUCGGCAGAUUGACUCUGAGGGCUGGAGGCAAGGGAGGAUGUGAUGGCACGUGGGCCAGGAGUGGUCCAUCCUGACAAGAGACUACUGUAAUGUUCUUGCCAACCAGGGACUUGGACUGAUACAAGAAUAAAGGCUGUUACCAUCCAGGUUAUUCGCCUAGAGAAACACGUUGCACUCCAAGCAAUUUGACCUACAGAAUAUCAAGUUUCCUGAAUAGGUAAAAUGGGGAGUGGAUUUGUCUCACAAAAAGUGGAGACUUGAGCUGCAAAGAACCUUUGUCCAUCUGCCCAAGUCAUAGAUCUCUUCUAUUCUCUUUUUCCUUCUUUCUCCCUUCUGGACCCCACUCCCCACGAAGGAGGAAAACAAGACUGUCAGCAUCUGCCGCACUUCCUUUUCUCUCUCUCUCUGUCUUUUCUGGCCUCUUCUGCUAUUUUCCCCACUUGCUCUCUGGGUGCCAGGCUUCCUCCCUUAGCUUCCUCUCAAACCUUCCUCCAUCUCGGCCCUUAACUAGUACUGCCUGGUUAACCAGGCAUAGGCCUGACCAACAGAUACUUUGGCCUGUAGUAUCAGGAAGCUGCCGGAACCACUAUUCCUAUAGACACCCACCCCACUCCACCCCAAGAAAGAGGGCCAGCACAAGAGAGGAAGUAAGACUCAAUGGUUCAAGACUUAAGGGGCCUGGCUUAGGGAGCAAGAUGACUAGGUGGCCUUAGGUAAGCUAUGUCACCUCUCUGAGGCUCAGACUUCACAUCAUGAGUGCGAAUGAUAACAAUAGCCCCUCGUAGUUGCUGUGAGGCUGACCAUCAUGGGAGUAGGUUAUGAUUAGAACCACAGAACUGGAACGCCUGGGUGGCUCAGUUAGUUAAACAUCUAACUCUUGGUUUCGGCUCAGAUCAUGAUCUCAGGGUGGUAAGAUCUGACCCUGUGUCGGGCUCCAUACUUAGCCGGAAGUCAGCUUGAGAUUCUCUCUCCCUCUGCCCCUCCCUUCACUCAUAUGCACACUCUUCCUCUAAAA